ensembl:lncRNA
GCUAUUAUCUAGGCACUUCAGAGAAGAGCCACAGCAGAGGGUGUCGGGGGAGGGUCUGUCCCGGGAAGGCCCCUUAGGGUCCUGCCCAGUUUCAGGAUCAUAAAAUAAGACAUUCCUUGUCAGCUGUAUGACAGGAACUGGAAAACAGUAAAUCCCCAGCGAGCCACGCGGGCUUUUGUUAUUAGUAUGUGAGUUAUGGUGCAGUCAGACCUCCUUGUUACAGCUGCAGAGAUGGAGCCUGUCAAAGACGCUCAACAAGGAGCAAUAUUGAAGAGGAAAAGUGAAAAUUUUUACAUAACCUCCUGCUUGUCCUGCCUCUGUAGCUCAGCUUACUCCUUACAAAUUCUGGAUCACGUAGGUCAGGAAGUCUCAGAAAGUGGGGACUUACAAUGCUAGGAAUUGGAGCUUAUCUCACUCACCCUCGUCCUGCAAUCGCCCGGCCCCUGCAAACCUGCUUAAUCAUGCCUGUUCAUGUAAAGCUCAGGCAUUCCCCUCCCCGUCAAGAUUGCUGUUCCGGCUCGCGAAACUUCUUAGUUUAAACCAGCAUAUAGCAGCUAGUGCUGCCCACUAUCGUCUGUCUAUAAAAACCCUGUAACUUCUUUGUUUGGGCCUCAGAGCUUGGAGUGUUGACACAUCUGGGCCUGCCCGCGUGAUUAACCUGAGUUCUCCACCUCUCCGAGUGUGCUGCUUGGUUCCCGCGUGAUUAACCUGAGUUCUCCACCUCUCCGAGUGUGCUGCUUGGUUUCCCACGUGAUUAACCUGAGCUCUCCACCUCUCCGAGUGUGCUGCUUGGUUCCCGCGUGAUUAACCUGAGCUCUCCACCUCUCCGAGUGUGCUGCUUGGUUCCCGCGUGAUUAACCUGAGCUCUCCACCUCUCCGAGUGUGCUGCUUGGUUUCCCGACCACCGGUUUCAAGACCCCACAGGAAAGAGCGCACGGCUACUCCUUUCGCAGCAUGCCAGACACCACGCUGAGAAACCCGGCUCCAUAAAACCUCUGCUGUAAUGAGAAUGGAAUGCACCUCGGUGGCCCGCUCCAUCAUCAGAUGCUGGUAUUCAUCUCUAAAGAAGAAGUUUCUGCCAUCAACUAUUGGUGAACUCUAAAAUAAGGUUUGGGUUUCCCUGGUGGCUCAGAUGGUGAAGAAUCCACCUGCACUGCAGGGGACCUGGGUUCAAUCCCUGGAUUGGGAAGAUCCCCUGGAGAAGGGAAAGGCCACUGACUCCAGUAUUCUUGCCUGGAGAAUCCCCAUGGACUGAGGAGCUUGGAGGGCUACAGUUCACAUGGUCACAAAAAGUUGGACAAGACUGAGUGACUAAGCACAAAAUAAGACUGGUGGUGUUAUGGAGUCCAAGCUCACUCUGCUAGCCACACGAUGGGCCGAUGAAGCCGAGAGAGGAGAUGUUGGGGCAAGGAAGAGACUUUAAUCGGGGAGCCAGCAGACUCAUAAGAUGGCAGGCUAGCGCCUCAAAAUAACCGUCUUAUUGGAGCCUAGAUGGCAGGUUGUUUUAUAGACCAGAAAGAAAGAAGCAAGGAGGAGCUGAAUUCAAAAGGCAGAAGGAAGAGGGAGAUGCAGUGGGGAAGUAAAGUGAAAGGGUCUUCAGUCUUGUAAAACAUCUCCAAGGGAACGUCCAGCCUUCAGAAGGGCGUGUUAUCCCUCCUUGAGCCGAACAAAGGCAUUUAAGUCUACAGUCAAGCAGAGGGGCAGGGUCCUCCAGGCAAGCCACUGAGUAAGAUUAUAAUAAUAAAUAAUAAUUUUUUAAAAGGCUUCCCUUGUGGGUCAGCAGGUAAAGAAUCCACCUGCAAUGUGGG